AUGGAUGUGCUAGCGCUGGAUCUGGGCGACGGAGGCGUGGAUGUGGAGCGGCACCCGAGCGGCCGAUCUGGAGCGGUGCCGGAGCGGCGGAUCUGGAGCAACGUCGUCGUCCUGACGGUGCCCUGCCCCGCCACGCCACGUCGUCGUCGUCGCGGAGUAGCUGCUUCCUCCUGCAGAGAAGGAGCACGCCCAGGAGAAGAAGGAUCAGGAGAAGGCCCUGAGGACCUGGGAUCGCUGUUGCUGGAUCUGGAUCUGGGACCUGGGACCGCUGCUGCUGCGUGCUCCUUCUGGGAGACGAGGAUCCUCCUUGGCGCCCCUGGAUCGCUGUUGCUGAAGACGCCCCUGGAGGGGACCUGGGCCUGGGAGCGUGGAGGAGAAGCAGGGGCGGGCGGGCGGGUGAUGGCCUGGCGGAGAAUUUCAAAUCCUCGGAUGGAGGAAGAAGACGAUGGGGAUACCGAUUCAUACUAG
rnacentral:rRNA from 1 species